rnacentral:rRNA from 1 species
AGGAGCCGAAGAAGGACGGGACUAACACCGAUAUGCUUUGGGGAGCUGUACGUAAGCGUUGAUCCAGAGAUUUCCGAAUGGGGGAACCCACUAUCUUUAGUCGGAUAGUAUCCUUACGUGAAUACAUAGCGUGAGGAAGGCAGACCCAGGGAACUGAAACAUCUAAGUACCUGGAGGAAGAGAAAGAAAAAUCGAUUUCCUGAGUAGCGGCGAGCGAAACGGAAAGAGCCCAAACCAAGAAGCUUGCUUCUUGGGGUUGUAGGACACUCUAUACGGAGUUACAAAAGAAAGUUAUAAAUGAAGCGGUCUGGAAAGGCCCGCCAAAGACGGUAACAGCCCGGUAGUUGAAAUGGCUUUCCCUCCAGAGUGGAUCCUGAGUACGGCGGAACACGUGAAAUUCCGUCGGAAUCCGGGAGGACCAUCUCCCAAGGCUAAAUACUCCCUAGUGACCGAUAGUGAACCAGUACCGUGAGGGAAAGGUGAAAAGCACCCCGGAAGGGGAGUGAAACAGUUCCUGAAACCGUGUGCCUACAAGUAGUUAGAGCCCGUUAAUGGGUGAUAGCGUGCCUUUUGUAGAAUGAACCGGCGAGUUACGAUUUGUUGCAAGGUUAAGCGGAAAAAGCGGAGCCGUAGCGAAAGCGAGUCUGAAUAGGGCGCAUAAGUAACAGGUCGUAGACCCGAAACCAGGUGAUCUACCCAUGUCCAGGAUGAAGGUAAGGUAAUACUUACUGGAGGUCCGAACCCACGCACGUUGAAAAGUGCGGGGAUGAGGUGUGGGUAGCGGAGAAAUUCCAAUCGAACUUGGAGAUAGCUGGUUCUCUCCGAAAUAGCUUUAGGGCUAGCCUCGAGGUAAAGAGUCAUGGAGGUAGAGCACUGUUUGGACUAGGGGCCCUUCUCGGGUUACCGAAUUCAGAUAAACUCCGAAUGCCAUGUACUUAUACUCGGGAGUCAGACUGCGAGUGAUAAGAUCCGUAGUCGAAAGGGAAACAGCCCAGACCACCAGUUAAGGUCCCCAAAUAUAUGUUAAGUGGAAAAGGAUGUGGGGUUGCUUAGACAACCAGGAUGUUGGCUUAGAAGCAGCCACCAUUGAAAGAGUGCGUAAUAGCUCACUGGUCGAGUGACCCCGCGCCGAAAAUGUACCGGGGCUAAACAUAUUACCGAAACUGUG